rnacentral:rRNA from 1 species
GGCCAGCAGCCGCGGUAAUACGUAGGCAGCAAGCGUUGUUCGGAGUUACUGGGCGUAAAGGGUGCGUAGGCGGUCCCUUAAGUUCGGUGUGAAAUCUCCCGGCUCAACUGGGAGGGUGCGCCGGAAACUGAGGGACUCGAGUGCGGGAGGGGAGAGCGGAAUUCCUGGUGUAGCGGUGAAAUGCGUAGAUAUCAGGAGGAACACCGGUGGUGCAGACGGCUCUCUGGACCGUAACUGACGCUGAGGCACGAAAGCGUGGGUAGCAAACAGGAUUAGAUACCCUGGUAGUCCACGCCCUAAACGAUGCAUGCUUGGUGCUGGUGAUUCAGUUCAUCGGUGCCGGAGCUAACGCGUUAAGCAUGCCGCCUGGGGAGUACAGUCGCAAGGCUGAAACUUAAAGGAAUUGGCGGGGGA